rnacentral:rRNA from 1 species
AGAGUUUGAUCCUGGCUCAGAAUGAACGCUGGCGGCGUUAACACAUGCAAGUCGUGCGCGAAGGAGGCUUCGGUCUCUGGAGAGCGGCGAACGGGUGAGUAACACGUGGGUAAUCUGCCUGGGAAUGGGGGAUAACCUGGGGAAACUCGGGCUAAUACCGCAUACGUUGGUUGGAUCUUGGUCUGACCUAAGAAAGCUGGCCUCUGCUUGCAAGCUAGCGUUCCUGGAGGAGCCCGCGGCUGAUUAGCUAGUUGGUGAGGUAACGGCUCACCAAGGCGACGAUCAGUAGCCGGCCUGAGAGGGUGAUCGGCCACACUGGGACUGAGACACGGCCCAGACUCCUACGGGAGGCAGCAGUGGGGAAUAUUGGACAAUGGGCGCAAGCCUGAUCCAGCAACGCCGCGUGGAGGAUGAAGGUCUUCGGAUCGUAAACUCCUGUCAGAUGGGACGAAGGCUUGGUGGCAAACAGUUGCCAAGUUUGACGGUACCAUCAGAGGAAGCCCCGGCUAACUCCGUGCCAGCAGCCGCGGUAAUACGGAGGGGGCGAGCGUUAUUCGGAAUUAUUGGGCGUAAAGGGCGCGUAGGCGGCUCUAUAAGUCAAAGGUGAAAUCCCUCGGCUCAACUGAGGAACUGCCUUUGAAACUGUUGGGCUUGAGGCCGGGAGAGGGUAGUGGAAUUCCCAGUGUAGCGGUGAAAUGCGUAGAUACUGGGAGGAACACCAGUGGCGAAGGCGGCUACCUGGACCGGUUCUGACGCUGAGGCGCGAAAGCGUGGGUAGCAAACAGGAUUAGAUACCCUAGUAGUCC